rnacentral:rRNA from 1 species
UUGUUUUGAAAGGGCAACGAUUGAAGUCAGUCAUGCCGGUGGGAAUCAACUUAGGGGAAACUCUGGGUGCACUUCUUCGUUUGGCAGGUUAGCGUCGAUUUUGGAUGUCAUAAAAUAAUUGGGGGAAGGCAGCUCCUUCGGGAGUGUUAUAGCCCUUGGUAGAUGUGAUGUCUGGGAUCGAGGAUUGCAACGGAUACCCUUCGGGGCUAACCGCCUGAUCUCUAAUUGGUGUUGGGUUACGGACAGCAUGCUGACCGUGAUCUAAAUUUACCUGGGGUUUAG